rnacentral:rRNA from 1 species
AAUAGAUACCCAGGUAGUCCACGCCGUAAACGAUGAGUGCUAGGUGUUAGGGGGUCCAACCCUUAGUGCCGAAGUUAACACAUUAAGCACUCCGCCUGGGGAGUACGGUCGCAAGACUGAAACUCAAAGGAAUUGACGGGGGCCCGCACAAGCGGUGGAGCAUGUGGUUUAAUUCGAAGCAACGCGAAGAACCUUACCAGGGCUUGACAUCCCUCUGACCGUUCUAGAGAUAGAGCUUCCCUUCGGGGCAGAGGUGACAGGUGGUGCAUGGUUGUCGUCAGCUCGUGUCGUGAGAUGUUGGGUUAAGUCCCGCAACGAGCGCAACCCUUGUCCUUAGUUGCCAGCAUUCAGUUGGGCACUCUAGGGAGACUGCCGGUGACAAACCGGAGGAAGGUGGGGAUGACGUCAAAUCAUCAUGCCCCUUAUGCCCUGGGCUACACACGUGCUACAAUGGCUGGUACAAAGGGUAGCGAAGCAGUGAUGUGGAGCCAAUCCCAAAAAGCCAGUCACAGUUCGGAUUGUAGGCUGC